AAAGCGCGCGUAGGUGGUUUGUUAAGUUGGAUGUGAAAUCCCCGGGCUCAACCUGGGAACUGCAUUCAAAACUGACUGACUAGAGUAUGGUAGAGGGUGGUGGAAUUUCCUGUGUAGCGGUGAAAUGCGUAGAUAUAGGAAGGAACACCAGUGGCGAAGGCGACCACCUGGACUAAUACUGACACUGAGGUGCGAAAGCGUGGGGAGCAAACAGGAUUAGAUACCCGAGU
rnacentral:rRNA from 1 species